UGGCCUCAUGCAAGUCGGCACCUGUGCCGGCGACACUUUCGAAUUGACGGGGACCCCCUAAAGCCCUUCCCACCAACCCAGCCAGGGAAACCUGCUGGCGGCCUGUCCUAACGUACAGGGUAUGGUAACAGAGGAAGGGAUGAGCCAGGCAGCCUUACGGCCGCUGGUGAAAUGGGCAAUCCGCAGCGAAGCCCCUACCGCACCUGGCUGGCAAAGCCAGGCGCCACGGGGAACGUUCACAGACUAAGUGGAAGUGGGUGGGACACCGCGUCCUGCUUAAGAUAUAGUCGGGCCCCUGGGGAGACCCAGGGAGGCAUAAAACCGUUCCGUAGGUGAACCUUCGGAAGGAUCAUUACAGUUUUGUUUUGGGCGGUCCGGCCCGCGCAAGCAACCGGCCGCUGCAAACAUUUCUACCCUUGAAUUUGAGCACCUUCGUUUCCUCGGCGGGUCCGCCCGCCAGCAGAGGACCCCAUUGAACUCUUUGUAGUAGCAGUCUUUGUCUGAAACAUAAAGCAAUAAUCAAAACUUUCAACAAUGGAUCUCUUGGUUCUGGCAUCGAUGAAGAACGCAGCGAAAUGCGAUAAGUAGUGUGAAUUGCAGAAUUCAGUGAAUCAUCGAAUCUUUGAACGCACAUUGCGCCCCUCGGUAUUCCGUGGGGCAUGCCUGUUCGAGCGUCAUUUAAACCCUCAAGCACAGCUUGGUGUUGGGUGCUUGUCCCGCCUCCGCGCGGCGACUCACCUCAAAGUCAUUGGCAGCCCGCAUCCGCCGGCCGUGAGCGCAGCACAGUCGCGCCCUAGGUCCCGGCAGGUCGGCUCUCCAGAAGCACUUCUUCCACCAUUGACCUCGGAUCAGGUAGGGAUACCCGCUGAACUUAAGCAUAUCAAUAAGCGGAGGAAAAGAAACCAACAGGGAUUGCCUCAGUAACGGCGAGUGAAGCGGCAACAGCUCAAAUUUGAAAUCUGGCCCUUUCAGGGUCCGAGUUGUAAUUUGUAGAGGGUGCUUUGGCGUUGGCCGUGGUCUAAGUUCCUUGGAACAGGACGUCACAGAGGGUGAGAAUCCCGUACGUGGCCGCCGGUCUUCGCCGUGUAAAGCCCCUUCGACGAGUCGAGUUGUUUGGGAAUGCAGCUCUAAAUGGGAGAUACAUUUCUUCUAAAGCUAAAUAUUGGCCAGAGACCGAUAGCGCACAAGUAGAGUGAUCGAAAGAUGAAAAGCACUUUGGAAAGAGAGUCAAAAAGCACGUGAAAUUGUUGAAAGGGAAGCGCUUGCAGCCAGACGUGCCCGCAGUUGCUCACCUAGGCUCUUGCCUGGGGCAUUCUUCUGCGGGCAGGCCAGCAUCAGUCCGGGCGGUUGGAUAAAGGCCUCUAUCACGUACCACCUUUCGGGGUGUCCUUAUAGGGGAGGCGCAACACGGCCAGCCUGGA
rnacentral:rRNA from 1 species